AGAGUUUGAUCCUGGCUCAGGACGAACGCUGGCGGCGUGCUUCAUACAUGCAAGUCGAGCGGACACCAUCCGGUGGCAACACUGGUGAAGUGUUAGCGGCGAACGGGUGAGUAACGCGUGAGCAACCUGCCCCCAAGUCUGGGAUAACCCCGGGAAACCGGAGCUAAUACCGGAUGCCCUCGUCGGGCCGCAUGGUCUGACGAGGAAAGUUUUUCGCUUGGGGAGGGGCUCGCGACCUAUCAGCUUGUUGGCGGGGUAACGGCCCACCAAGGCGUCGACGGGUAGCUGGUCUGAGAGGACGACCAGCCACACUGGGACUGAGACACGGCCCAGACUCCUACGGGAGGCAGCAGUAGGGAAUCUUGCGCAAUGGGCGAAAGCCUGACGCAGCAACGCCGCGUGGGGGAUGAAGGCUCUCGGGUCGUAAACCCCUUUCAGUGG
rnacentral:rRNA from 1 species